rnacentral:rRNA from 1 species
CCCGAGAGGGUGCAAGGCCCGUAGCGGCCGGAGGUGUGUCGGCGCCGGAUGUCCUCUCCCGGGAGUCGGGUUGCUUGAGAGUGCAGCCCUAAUCGGGUGGUAAACUCCAUCUAAGGCUAAAUACGACCUGGAGACCGAUAGCGAACAAGUACCGUGAGGGAAAGUUGAAAAGGACUUUGAAGAGAGAGUUCAAGAGUACGUGAAACCGUUCGGAGGUAAACGAGUGGGCCCUCGAAGUGUUGAAGGCGGGGGGACUCAGCCGAACGCCGUCGAGCCCGCCGGCCGCUCCACGCGCUUCCCUCCCGGGACGCGAGCGGCCGGUGCGCUGGCUCCGGCUGGCGGCGCAUUUCCUCCCGUCCUCAGACGCCGCGACCGGUCGGGCACGCCACGAGCAGUCGGCCUUACUCGCGGGAAACGGAAGGUAGCCGGGUCGGCGCCCACCUCGGGCGCCGGCUCCCGGUGUCUAGCCGUCCCGCAAUCGAGCAAGCCGUUCGCCCGACCGCAGGACCGGAGGCCCUCAGGGGCCCCGCCGCGCCCUUCCUCCUCCGGGAGGAAUCGACUCUCCGCCCCGGAAGGGAUGCCGUCCGUUUCUCUCCUCGCCGCACCCCCCAGGUGCGCGAGGGACGGCGGCGCCCGCUGGCCGGGGCGGUCUCGACGGGCUGCAGGCGGUCCGCGGCGAGUAGGUCGGUCACCCACUCGACCCGUCUUGAAACACGGACCAAGGAGUUUAACAUGCGCGCGAGUCACUGGGUCGUGAGCAGGCCCAAGGGCGCAAUGAAAGUGAAGGGCGGCUCCGCGCCGUCCGCGUUGGGAUCCGCCGGCCUCCGCGCCGGCGGCGCACCAACGGCUCGUCCGGGCCGCCACGUCGGCCGGGCGAAGCUAGAGCGCGCAUGUUGAGACCCGAAAGAUGGUGAACUAUGGCUGGGCAGGACGAAGCCAGAGGAAACU